rnacentral:rRNA from 1 species
UUGAUAAAAGCUUCGGCGGUUGUAGAUGGUCAUGCGUACCAUUAGUUAGUUGGUGAGGUAACGGCUCACCAAGGCAGUGAUGGUUAGGGGUCCUGAGAGGGUAGUCCCCCACACUGGUACUGAGACACGGACCAGACUCCUACGGGAGGCAGCAGUGAGGAAUAUUGGUCAAUGGGCGAGAGCCUGAACCAGCCAUGCCGCGUGCAGGAAGACGGCCCUACGGGUUGUAAACUGCUUUUCUGUAAGAAGAAUCGCCCGCAUUCGUUGGGGGUAUGACGGUAUUACAGGAAUAAGCAUCGGCUAACUCCGUGCCAGCAGCCGCGGUAAUACGGAGGAUGCGAGCGUUAUCCGGAUUCAUUGGGUUUAAAGGGUGCGCAGGCGGUGGAGCAAGUCAGUGGUGAAAGCCCAAGGCUUAACCUUGGGAUUGCCAUUGAAACUGUUUCACUUGAGUGUAGUCGAGGACGGCGGAAUGAGUUGUGUAGCGGUGAAAUGCAUAGAUAUAACUCAGAACACCAAUUGCGGAGGCAGCUGUCCAGGCUACGACUGACGCUGAGGCACGAAAGCGUGGGGAGCGAACAGGAUUAGAUACCCUGGUAGUCCACGCUGUAAACGAUGAUCACUCGUUGUUGGCUACUUAGUAGUCAGUGACUAAGGGAAACCAUUAAGUGAUCCACCUGGGGAGUACGUCGGCAACGAUGAGACUCAAAGGAAUUGACGGGGGCCCGCACAAGCGGAGGAACAUGUGGUUUAAUUCGAUGAUACGCGAGGAACCUUACCUGGGCUUAAAUGCAGGCUGCAUUCACGUGAAAGCGUGAUUUCCUACGGGACUGCCAGCAAGGUGCUGCAUGGUUGUCGUCAGCUCGUGCCGUGAGGUGUCGGGUUAAGUCCCAUAACGAGCGCAACCCCUAUCGCUAGUUGCCAGCAUGUAAAGGUGGGGACUCUAGCGAGACUGCCGGUGUAAACCGGAGGAAGGUGGGGAUGACGUCAAAUCAGCACGGCCCUUACGUCCAGGGCUACACACGUGUUACAAUGGCCGGUACAAAGAGCAGCCACCUGGCGACAGGGCGCUAAUCUCAAA